rnacentral:tRNA from 1 species
GUCUGUGGCUUAGCUGUAGAGCAUCUGCUUGGGAUGUAGAAGGUCCCAGGUUCAGUCCUUGUCAUCUACA